rnacentral:lncRNA from 1 species
AUGUUCAUGCAAUGUGCAGGCUCAGGUGACCCGUUAACAUUGAUCAGGAACUCUUCGUCAAAGUGCCCCAGGAUGCCAGAACUGAAUGAGAUCUGGAUAGCUUGGACUCCACUCGGUUCGAUGAUACCUUCUUUGGGACUGAAAACAAAGCAGGCCCCCAAAGCCGAGGUUGGAGGGUUCACACUGAAGAGCGCAUCGAUGCUGCCCUUGUUGGACAGUACAGCCUGUAUCAGUAAAAGGCAAGGAGAGAAAGGUCAGGGGACCUGUGGUCAAUUUGCAUGUAAGUAAGUGGCUACAUUAUUUAACAUCACAAUUAGAACCCAAAGAAAACCCUGGGGGAAAUGAAAACUGUGAUGUUUUGAAUGUUGGAAGACAGGACUUCCAAGCUAAAAAUUAAGCCUAUGUUUUUAGUGU